rnacentral:rRNA from 1 species
GACGAACGCUGGCGGCGUGCUUAACACAUGCAAGUCGAACGGAAAGGCCCUGCUUUUGUGGGGUGCUCGAGUGGCGAACGGGUGAGUAACACGUGAGUAACCUGCCCUUGACUUUGGGAUAACUUCAGGAAACUGGGGCUAAUACCGGAUAGGAGCUCCUGCUGCAUGGUGGGGGUUGGAAAGUUUCGGCGGUUGGGGAUGGACUCGCGGCUUAUCAGCUUGUUGGUGGGGUAGUGGCUUACCAAGGCUUUGACGGGUAGCCGGCCUGAGAGGGUGACCGGCCACAUUGGGACUGAGAUACGGCGCAGACUCCUACAGGAGGCAGCAGUGGGGAAUAUUGCACAAUGGGCGGAAGCCUGAUGCAGCAACGCCGCGUGCGGGAUGACGGCCUUCGGGUUGUGAACCGCUUUCGCCUGUGACGAAGCGUGAGUGACGGUAAUGGGUAAAGAAGCACCGGCUAACUACGUG